GUAAAACAACGUUCUUAGUACAAAGUAAUUUGUCGUAUUCAGAAUAUCGUUAAAGGAAUUUUUAUUCAUUCAUUUCUACGGUCUCUUAGUGUUUUAUGUUAGGUUAGGCACAUAACCAACUUCACAUCUAUAAGACUGUCAUCAAACAGCUGUGCAUACAUAAUUUGUUUACCUAAAUAAAGUUCAUUGAAAUUUGGAGAUAUUUUCUAAUUUCUGUAAAAAUAUUAUCAAUUAGUAUGUUGUUGAGAAAAGUAUUGGGUUUUGUAAGGAAUGCAAAAAUAUUGCAAAGAACAAUUACUCACAGAAAUUUUUAUUCAUCUCAAAAGAGAUAUAAUCAGAGUGCAGUAGUUACACAGUUAUUUACACUGUCUCUUACUGGUUUCUGGAGUUUUACUAAAAAGAAAAGUGAAAAUGAACCAGUUAUAACUACUAAGGAAGUCGUAAUAGGAAAGGCUGAUGCACUAUUCGAUCAAGAAAAAUAUAAGGAAAUAUAUAACCUUUUAUCAAAUUAUAAAGAUAGUGGAGAUGUUGAAAUUAUAUGGCGUUUAUGUAGAGCAAUGUAUAAAAUGGCCAAAACAGCUAGUGAAGUUGAAGCAAAAAGAAUUAUUUAUGAAGCUUAUGAUUUAAUACUUAAAGCCCUCAGAGUAAAUGAAAAUCAUUGGGCUGUGCAUAAAUGGACAUCAAUUCUUCUCAAUACUAAAUGCAGUUAUGAAGGCACGAAAGCACAAAUUAAGGAAUCAUAUAACAUUAAACAUCAUAUGCUGAAAGCAAUAGAACUUAAUCCGCAGGAUGCAACAGUUCUGUACAUGUUAGGCACUUGGUGUUUUCAAGUAGCUGACUUGUCAUGGUAUCAAAGGAAAAUUGCAUCGAUAAUAUUUGGAGAACCACCAACUUCUUCAUAUCAGGAAGCUUUACAAUACUUUGAAAAUGCAGAAAAAGUCGAUCCUAAUUUUUACAGCCACAACUUAUUAAUGCUGGCAAAAACAUAUUUAAAAUUACAAAACACAGAACUGGCUACAAAAUAUUUGUUAAUGACCAUUGAAUAUCCUGCUAAAAAUGAUGAUGAUCUGAUUGCUAAGCAAGAAGCACAGAAGUUGCUAAAGGAUGUUUAAUGUGAUCUCAGUAAAGUUUCCAUAUGUCUCGCACAAAUAACUGUAUUAUUUUCAAGUAUUGAGUUUUAAUGAAGAAGAAAAUAUACCAUACACUGUGAUUUUUCACAUAUAGCUCUCUAUAAAUAUAUAUAUAUAUUUCUAUGUGUUUU
rnacentral:misc_RNA from 1 species